rnacentral:tRNA from 1 species
GGGGAUGUAGCACAACGGUCAGUGUCCCAGUCUUCCAAACUGGUUACGCGGGUUCGACUCCCGUCAUCCCCU